GAUGAACGCUGGCGGCGUGCCUAAUACAUGCAAGUCGAGCGAACGGACGAGAAGCUUGCUUCUCUGAUGUUAGCGGCGGACGGGUGAGUAACACGUGGAUAACCUACCUAUAAGACUGGGAUAACUUCGGGAAACCGGAGCUAAUACCGGAUAAUAUUAUGAACCGCAUGGUUCAAAAGUGAAAGACGGUCUUGCUGUCACUUAUAGAUGGAUCCGCGCUGCAUUAGCUAGUUGGUAAGGUAACGGCUUACCAAGGCAACGAUGCAUAGCCGACCUGAGAGGGUGAUCGGCCACACUGGAACUGAGACACGGUCCAGACUCCUACGGGAGGCAGCAGUAGGGAAUCUUCCGCAAUGGGCGAAAGCCUGACGGAGCAACGCCGCGUGAGUGAUGAAGGUCUUCGGAUCGUAAAACUCUGUUAUUAGGGAAGAACAUAUGUGUAAGUAACUGUGCACAUCUUGACGGUACCUAAUCAGAAAGCCGCGGCUAACUACGUG
rnacentral:rRNA from 1 species